UACGGAGGGGGCUAGCGUUGUUCGGAAUUACUGGGCGUAAAGCGCACGUAGGCGGCUUUGCAAGUCAGAGGUGAAAGCCCGGGGCUCAACCCCGGAAUUGCCUUUGAGACUGCAUCGCUAGAAUUGUGGAGAGGUAAGUGGAAUUCCGAGUGUAGAGGUGAAAUUCGUAGAUAUUCGGAAGAACACCAGUGGCGAAGGCGGCUCACUGGCCCGAUACUGACGCUGAGGCACGAAAGCGUGGGGAGCAAACAGG
rnacentral:rRNA from 1 species